rnacentral:rRNA from 1 species
UGACGGUACCUGACUAAGAAGCCCCGGCUAACUACGUGCCAGCAGCCGCGGUAAUACGUAGGGGGCAAGCGUUAUCCGGAUUUACUGGGUGUAAAGGGAGCGUAGACGGUAUGGCAAGUCUGAAGUGAAAGCCCGGGGCUCAACCCCGGGACUGCUUUGGAAACUGUUAAACUAGAGUGUCGGAGAGGCAAGUGGAAUUCCUAGUGUAGCGGUGAAAUGCGUAGAUAUUAGGAGGAACACCAGUGGCGAAGGCGGCUUGCUGGACGAUGACUGACGUUGAGGCUCGAAAGCGUGGGGAGCAAACAGGAUAGAUACCCUG